GUGACUGUGCUGAGGGGGAACAGCCGCGUGAGGCACCUCCAGGACACCGGUGCUGUGGAGAGGAGAUGUAAAGGGUCAAGCGGUGCAUGAGACACACACAGAUCCCGGAAGCAUCUCAAGCAGCGUGGAUGAGGCAAGUGUCCUGGAGCUUGCUGGAGCAGCAGAAGUGGCCAGAAGAAAGAAGCUCUUGGUGCUGCUCUGAAAAUCCCUGUUUAGAAAGGAUUGAGAAGAUGGAAACUUGGAAGCCCCCAAUUAAAACGGGGCUAUAAGAAAAUGAUUUAUUUUCAGGAUCUGGAUGUAGGAAUUUCAAACAUCAGAGGUGGUUUGGGGCAGGCUGUAACAAGAAUUAUGUGUACAGUUCUUUAAUUAUUAAUCCCUUUUCACUGCUUGUUUAAAAUAUAUUUAUAUGUGACCUCAAUUAAACUUAUUAGUAUUUAAA